GCUGGGCAUGGUGGUGCAUGCCUGUAGUCCCAGCUACUUGAGAAGCUGAGGUGGGAGGAUCACUAGAACCCAGGAGUUCAAGGCUGCUGUGAGCCAUGAUUGUGCCAGUGCACUCCAGCCUGGGCAACAGAGUGAGACCCUACCUCAA
rnacentral:SRP_RNA from 1 species